rnacentral:lncRNA from 1 species
GUGGCACCACCGAGGGAACUAUAUGAUGCACCACUAUAGGGGGUGUAGAGACAGCCUAGGGAGGCUGUGAUGCUGGCUGAAAGGGUGUGAGAAAGGUCUGGAUCGCUUGGAUUGCAAUCAUCAGAUGUUGAACUUGCUGGAAGAGCUGAUCGAAUUGAUCAACCGUGACUGGCACCGACUGAGCCGGUUGAACCGAUAGAGGGA